rnacentral:tRNA from 7 species
GUGGAUGUAGUUUAAUGGUAGAAUGCACGGUUGUGGUCCGUGAGAAGCGAGUUCGAUUCUCGCUUUCCACC